rnacentral:rRNA from 1 species
UGAAUGCUGGCGGCGUGGAUAAGGCAUGCAAGUCGAACGGUCUGUCGCAAGACAGAUAGUGGCAAACGGGUUAGUAACACGUGGGUAACUUGCCUCGUUGAUGGGCAUAAUCCGUCGAAAGACGGACUAAUUCCCAAUAGUCAUUUCGUUGAAAUACGAAAAUGUAAAGCAUACGCAAGUAUGUACAACGAGAGAGGCCUGCGUCCCAUCAGCUAGAAGGUGUGGUAAUGGCGCACCUUGGCUAUGACGGGUAGGGGAUGUGAGAGCAUGAUCCCCAACAAGGGUAUUGAGAUACGGACACUACUCCUACGGGGGGCAGCAGUCGAUAAUAUUCGGCAAUGGGCGAAAGCCUGACCGAGCGACGCCGCGUGAAGGACGAAGUCCUAUGGGAUGUAAACUUCUUUUGCAGGAGAAUAACUGCUGUCUUUUAGAUAGCAGAGAAGGUAACCUGCGAAUAAGGGGUUGCUAAUCAUGU